GGGCGUUAAGUUGCAGGGUAUAGACCCGAAACCCGGUGAUCUAGCCAUGGGCAGGUUGAAGGUUGGGUAACACUAACUGGAGGACCGAACCGACUAAUGUUGAAAAAUUAGCGGAUGACCUGUGGCUGGGGGUGAAAGGCCAAUCAAACCGGGAGAUAGCUGGUUCUCCCCGAAAGCUAUUUAGGUAGCGCCUCGUGAAUUCAUCUCCGGGGGUAGAGCACUGUUUCGGCUAGGGGGCCAUCCCGGCUUACCAACCCGAUGCAAACUGCGAAUACCGGAGAAUGUUAUCACGGGAGACACACGGCGGGUGCUAACGUCCGUCGUGAAGAGGGAAACAACCCAGACCGCCAGCUAAGGUCCCAAAGUCAUGGUUAAGUGGGAAACGAUGUGGGAAGGCCCAGACAGCCAGGAUGUUGGCUUAGAAGCAGCCAUCAUUUAAAGAAAGCGUAAUAGCUCACUGGUCGAGUCGGCCUGCGCGGAAGAUGUAACGGGGCUAAACCAUGCACCGAAGCUGCGGCAGCGANNUGCUGGAGGUAUCAGAAGUGCGAAUGCUGACAUAAGUAACGAUAAAGCGGGUGAAAAGCCCGCUCGCCGGAAGACCAAGGGUUCCUGUCCAACGUUAAUCGGGGCAGGGUGAGUCGACCCCUAAGGCGAGGCCGAAAGGCGUAGUCGAUGGGAAACGGGUUAAUAUUCCCGUACUUGGUGUUACUGCGAAGGGGGGACGGAGAAGGCUAUGUUGGCCGGGCGACGGUUGUCCCGGUUUAAGCGUGUAGGUGUGUGUUCCAGGUAAAUCCGGUUCACUUUAACACUGAGGCGUGACGACGAGGCACUACGGUGCUGAAGCAACAAAUGCCCUGCUUCCAGGAAAAGCCUCUAAGCAUCAGGUAACAUCAAAUCGUACCCCAAACCGACACAGGUGGUCAGGUAGAGAAUACCAAGGCGCUUGAGAGAACUCGGGUGAAGGAACUAGGCAAAAUGGUGCCGUAACUUCGGGAGAAGGCACGCUGACAUGUAGGUGAAGUGAUUUACUCAUGGAGCUGAAGUCAGUCGAAGAUACCAGCUGGCUGCAACUGUUUAUUAAAAACACAGCACUGUGCAAACACGAAAGUGGACGUAUACGGUGUGACGCCUGCCCGGUGCCGGAAGGUUAAUUGAUGGGGUCAGCGCAAGCGAAGCUCCUGAUCGAAGCCCCGGUAAACGGCGGCCGUAACUAUAACGGUCCUAAGGUAGCGAAAUUCCUUGUCGGGUAAGUUCCGACCUGCACGAAUGGCGUAAUGAUGGCCAGGCUGUCUCCACCCGAGACUCAGUGAAAUUGAACUCGCUGUGAAGAUGCAGUGUACCCGCGGCAAGACGGAAAGACCCCGUGAACCUUUACUAUAGCUUGACACUGAACAUUGAGCCUUGAUGUGUAGGAUAGGUGGGAGGCUUUGAAGUGUGGACGCCAGUCUGCAUGGAGCCGACCUUGAAAUACCACCCUUUAAUGUUUGAUGUUCUAACGUGGACCCGUUAUCCGGGUUGCGGACAGUGUCUGGUGGGUAGUUUGACUGGGGCGGUCUCCUCCUAAAGAGUAACGGAGGAGCACGAAGGUUGGCUAAUCCUGGUCGGACAUCAGGAGGUUAGUGCAAUGGCAUAAGCCAGCUUGACUGCGAGCGUGACGGCGCGAGCAGGUGCGAAAGCAGGUCAUAGUGAUCCGGUGGUUCUGAAUGGAAGGGCCAUCGCUCAACGGAUAAAAGGUACUCCGGGGAUAACAGGCUGAUACCGCCCAAGAGUUCAUAUCGACGGCGGUGUUUGGCACCUCGAUGUCGGCUCAUCACAUCCUGGGGCUGAAGUAGGUCCCAAGGGUAUGGCUGUUCGCCAUUUAAAGUGGUACGCGAGCUGGGUUUAGAACGUCGUGAGACAGUUCGGUCCCUAUCUGCCGUGGGCGCUGGAGAACUGAGGGGGGCUGCUCCUAGUACGAGAGGACCGGAGUGGACGCAUCACUGGUGUUCGGGUUGUCAUGCCAAUGGCACUGCCCGGUAGCUAAAUGCGGAAGAGAUAAGUGC
rnacentral:rRNA from 1 species